UAAUGAUACAUAUUGGAGUUCCAGGUCUAGCUACCUCAGUGAGGGACUGUGGCUUGGUUGGCUAAUCUUCUUUAAAUAUUUUUAGGAGGUUGCCUUGUCACCAUAUUCCUGGAAUGUUCUUGCACUUUUCAUCUCAGGGGUGAGACUGUCUAGUUCUUAUAUGAAAUAUGGAUAUGAUAAAGAGUGAAAAUGCAUCUGAGUAGCUCAAGUAGUAGACUAUAUUGGAUACAAUUUAUGGGCCUGUAAUCUGUUCUCUCAUGACGAGAGCCCUGCUCAUUUUUUCUGUUGCCUUGACUCCUAGGAUCUCCAACUGUUGCACCUUUCUUCAAAGAUACGGGCUUCUACAAGGUUUUCAUCAUAGCUACUACAACAGGAGGUCCAGUAGCUCUGGGCUCAAUGCCAAAGCAACCAGAUCCAUGGAGUCUCUGGCCUCUACGUGGCUAACCAGAAGGCUUGGCAAAUUCAGGCUGGAAAUACAGAACAUGUAAUAGUUUGUCGGACAACUUUUAACCCAAUAUGGACAAGAUAUGGGAAGAAGCACACAAUCUUUUCUAGGACACAUCAUUUUAAGGGAAGAUGGGAGAGAUAUGAAGAAGCAGCUGUGGAGAUGCAACGCUGGACAUGAAAUGGGUGUGGAAGACAACGGAAAGCCAGUUGGUCAAGACCCUUGGGAAGAAAAGAAUCUUUAAAAGGUCUCUGUUAGCGUGGGACUAAAUUGUAAUCAGACAUUGUGAAUAAGAUGAAAUACUAAAGAAAGAAAGAAAGAAAAAUAUAGGGCACAUACAGAACUGAUCAAGAAGGGAUUAUCAAGAGACAAUUACUCAACUACCCAUUUGCAAGUGAGCAUAUUCUCACCCAACACUGUUUUCAGUUAUGAUUGAAUGGAAGCUCUAAUUGAAUAGUUCUUUGUGGUGUUCAAAGUCCAAGACAGCAAGUUGUUCUUUUGUAUGGGUUCAUAAGUUUUCCCAGAAUGAACUGUAAAACACUCAUGAUUUCCCUGAACUGUGGCAAAGUGACUUACCCAGUUUCUGGCAAAUUUAUUAAGCAAUACAGACUCCCUGCUUAAUCCAUUGGUUUAAACAAUAUUCAGUUAACACAAAUUAGUGAAUAAGCAGAGACAUAGGUCAGCUGAUCGAAGAAAGAUGUAAAAGUAAAUUAAAAUAAAAUUUAUUUGAAAACAGCAAUGGGUCAGAGCUAAAGCCCAGUACAAGUUAGAACAAAUAAAAACCCAUUAAUCUGAAAAACCUUCUUGGGUUUACAAGAAGGCUUUUCUGAUCUCAGGCUGUAUUUAUCCUCUAGAUGGAAAAAAAAGAGGAGCAAUAAAUCUCUUCAUAUCAAAGGCCUGUUCAGCAGAAAUGAAUUGAAAGUGUUGGGUCAAUUAGACUGAACUAGAUCUCCCCCAGGCAAACCUACUAUCGAUACAUAUUUAGCUUCCAGACACCUUUAAAGGCAGCCUGGGAAAGGCUGGCUAGCAAAGAAAAAAAAAGAUAAUUCUAAAAUUUGAGUUCCCUUUGAACUCCAUCCACUACAGCAAUAAAAAGAGCUGUUUCUGCUCUAUUGCAUUUUGUUGAAACAAAAAAAAAAUAGACUGGAGAAAUGAAUAAGCUCGGCAUAUUAUGUAGAUAAAAUGGUAUUAUGGCAAGAGAAUGAAGAACAAAGAGCUAAGAACCAGAUUCCUGUCGCAGCUCUGCUCUCAUAGCUGUGUGACUUCUGGUCAGUCCUUAGACUUUGAAAUCUAUAGGCUACAUGUCUGGAAAUAAGAGGAUAACAGAUUAUUCUUAAGUUUCUCUGUGAUUCAAAAAUAUCUAUGAAUCUAAAGGAAGGAAGACAGUUAUGUGGAUUGGUUAUUGGAAAAGAAUCUAAAGUAAUUGUUUCAUGUAUGCAUAAAAGGGAAGAUCCAGCUAUAAAUUGUCAAGAUAUCUUCAAAAACACCUUUUAUUAUUGAAAGCUACAAAGAGGACAAAUAGUCAAAUAAAUUUUUGUAGGAACACUCAUAAAUAAUAUUUACUAGUAUCUAGUGAGCAUUUACUAUUUGAAUUACUUUUGUAGAAAGUCUUAUUUAGUCCAAUACAAUCCUUUGAGAUAGAUGCCGUUUUAUAUAAAUUUUAUACAUAAGUCAACUGAGAUACCAUUAUAGACUCAGAAUGUUCUAAGAGGCAAACCAGGAUUUAGUCUCGUACUGUUCAAACUCUACUAAUCACUGUGUAAUUAUAAGCACUCUUCUAGAUCACCAUUUGUAGAUGGCAUAGUAAAGUAAAGACAUCUUCAGCUUGUGCUUCAAGCCAGAACAUACACUGUCACAUUUAAAACUCCAGUGUCUCUGUGAUGGGCUUAUUUGUAUUAUUCCUCUUCCUUUGGUCUAAGUGAAAAUACUUUUUCUUAAUUUCCUGAGACAAUCUGAGAAAAUGAAUCUAGUGAAAAUGCUAGAGUAACUCAUUGGAUUUGAGCGCUCCAACCAUUGAAAUACUAUGGUAUCAACUGGACUAAGAAUCAGAGGACCUCUAUUCAAGGCCUUUCUUUACUAAUUGUGAGUGGGACCUCGAGCAAAUUUCUCACCACUCUAAACAUCAGUUUCCCAACUAUAAAACAGAACUUUUCUCGCUAAUAUUACAAUGUUAAAGAGGUAAAAUAGAAAAAAGAAGGACUUUGGAUCUAGAGGAGCCUAGAUGGGAAUUUUGUGAGGAGUCAUGUGACCUUGUACAAAUUACUCAAACGUUUCUGAGUCUCAUGUUCUUUGUCUGAGUAAUGGUGAUGAUAAUAGUGAUAUGGACAGUAGGCAGCGAAAUACUGGGCAGAAGAGAGCAGUGCCCCAGCAAAGGCCCCACCCUCAAGCCUGGAAACCCGCAGCCCUAAAUGGGAACAAGCAUUCCUGUUUUCAUGCCCAAAUGUUGUCUUUUGGCCCACCAUGUCCCCCACUAUCUUGUACCCAUAUAAACUCCAAACCUCAGGCUCCACGAGCAGAGGAACAGCAGAGCGGCAGAGCAGCAGGGCAGCACAGCAGUGCAGCAGAGAAGGAGAGAAAAGGAGUAUAUGAACGUUAGGAGGAGUUCGGCUGGGGAUGGUCAGAGAGGAGACUGGCCACAGGAUGGCCGAACUCCAGGGGAAGAUCAUCUUCCCACUAAAUCCCCUUUCCAGCUCCCCAUCCAUCCCACUGAGAGCCACCUCCACCACUCAAUAAAAUCCCUGCAUUCACCAUCCUUUAAUUCCGAGUGACCUGAUUCUUCCUGGGUACUGAAAAAGGGGCCAGGUACCAAGAAGGCAGGGUGUAAAAGACUGUGACCCUGACUCUCCACUGAGCUUGUUUAACACUUAGCCACCCACGGACAGCAACUGCUAAAAGAGUAUUAAUUGUAACACACCUCUAGAUGCUUCCGUGGGGCCAGAGCCCAAAAGCACUUGCCCUGGCUCCUGCACCUGCCCAUCUGUGUGCUUCCCCUCUUGUAAGGGAUUUGAGCACCCAGCAGCCAAAUAAACAAGCCACACCCCUAUGAGGGGGUCAGGGAACUCACCCAUUUAAAUAGUAACAACUUCACAAGGCUAAAGUAUAGAUUAAAUUAGAGAACUUUCCUCAAAUGUAGUAGUUUAACCCACAAUAAUGGAAAACAAAUAACUAGAAGAGACUCUGAACAUUGGUGAACCAUUCUGUUUUAAAUAUAAUGUAUACCCACAAAUUGUCUUUUGGGCAUGUAUGUUUUCUUGUAUAUUUGUUCGUUUAUCUCCAGCAAUAGAGAUGAAUUUGUGCUGAGACACUAAUUUUCUUUCUCCUUACCUUCUUUUCUCUUCUCCUUUUCUUUUGUGUGGCAAAAAUAAUGCAUUAUUUUAAAAAAUACUGCUGGCAAGUGUCCUUCCCAGUCCACAUGGGGGCUAACCCCUCCUCAACCUUACUAAAAGGGUGGGCUCCAAAAACUAAUUAGUCGUGUACAGUAAAAAUAAGAAAAUUACACUAUUUAAAUUGACGGUUUGUUUAAAAAUGUUUUGCAAAUUCACGUUUUGUUAAAAUGUCUAACUAUAUAUGUAAUUUACAUAACCUAUGGAAUCAAGAAAAGAAUAUCCCUUUCAGAUAUGUUAAAUGGAAUGAACAAAUAUGUACAUCGCUAUUAUAUGUGCCACAUUCUCUUUCACCCAGAUGCCAUCUAUAAAAAGCUCAGAAAUGAACGGUAAUUUAAACUAUAAAUCUAUAUUUAACACACUAUAAAUGAGUAGACUAGUGUGUAUAAUAUUUUGCUUCUAUCCCCCUUUGAAUUAAUCUAGUUCUUACUCUAUAUAAAUAUCUACUUGUUGUGUUCUUUUCAUUUCAUCAGGUGAGAAAGACUGAAAAUGAAAGGCCCUUAAAUGAGAAAGGUAAUAUGGAAAAUAAAAUGGAUAUCUCAGCCCUGUCAUUCAAGUAUCCCUAGUGCAAACAUGUAAUUUUGUAAUUUAUUGUCCAAAGAGGAUACUUUUGAAAUGGAAAGGGGCACUAUAAAUAAUUGUACCAGGAAAAUAGGAGGAAACCAGUGUUUCUCAAAUAAAUUGAGAUAUAUGGUUGACAGGUCACUUAAGUUGUGUCAUUUUAACUUCCAAAACACUUUCUGCCUGUUCAAAAUAAAUCCAAAAGGUACCCUGCCUCCCAGCCCCUUUGACAGUCUCUGCUGCUCCACCAUCAAGUGACUUUUCCCCCUGGAUUGCUACAAUAGCCUCACAGGAGCCUCUUAGCUUCCACCCUGGCCCUCCCCACUUCUCCAACUCUCCAGUCAAUUUUCUGUAUAGCAACAAAAGAUAUACUUUUACAGCAGUGGUUCUCAACUGGAAGAGGUUUUGUCCCCUGUCUUGUGACACAUGGCAAUGCCUGGAGAUAAUAUUGAUUGUCACACCUAGGAGGCUGCUACCAGCAUCUAGCAGGGAGAGGCCAGGGAUGCGGCAAAACAUCCUACACUGCCAUGUGACAGCGCCCAUAACAAAAAAGUACCUAAUCC
rnacentral:lncRNA from 1 species